rnacentral:rRNA from 1 species
AGCUCCAAUAGCGUAUAUUAAAGUUGUUGCAGUUAAAAAGCUCGUAGUUGGAUUUCUGCUGGGAGCGGUGUGUCCGGCGCUCAGCGCUGCGAACACGUUCCGCGUCCCGGCAUUUUUGGGGAGAACGUGCCUGGCAUUAGGUUGUCGGGUUCGGGAUCCCCAUCGUUUACUGUGAAAAAUUAGAGUGUUUAAAGCAGGCUUACGCCGUUGAAUACAUUAGCAUGGAAUAAUAAGAUAGGACUUUGGUGGUCUAUUUUGUUGGUUUGCACACCAAGGUAAUGAUUAAUAGGGAUAGUUGGGGGUAUUCGUAUUCAAUUGUCAGAGGUGAAAUUCUUGGAUUUAUGGAAGACGAACUACUGCGAAAGCAUUUACCAAGGAUGUUUUCA